rnacentral:misc_RNA from 1 species
AAGUCGUAACAAGGUCUCCGUAGGUGAACCUGCGGAGGGAUCAUUAACACGUUUCCAAAAAACGUUUAUCAACCAAAUCAACGUGAACCUAAAACCAACUCCCUUAUCAGUGCGACGAACGAAUAAUCAUCAGGGUGGAGUGAAGCGAAAGCUGAACUAUGACUCGUUCUAGGGGCCCUUGAGGCUCCAAUCCGCUGAUAAGUGUCUUUGCGACCACCUGGCAGUCUACAUUCGUGUAGCGUUCUGCCGAAUUUUUCACAACAAUUUUUAACCCCUUUCACAACAUACUAAUAACUGAACCAUUUUUUUUCUCAUGUCACCUAGUGAUAUGUGAUAAAAAGAUAUACGUAAUGCUGAACAACUCUUAGCAAUGGAUAUCUUGGUUCUC